GAUCAGUGAUGAAAAUAGCCAAAUCUGAGCAUCAGAAGGCCUUUUGGUCUGGGGCAUGAUCUCUCUAGUUCUGAGA
rnacentral:snoRNA from 7 species